rnacentral:rRNA from 1 species
UACGAAGGCAGCAGUGGGGAAUAUUGCACAAUGGGCGCAAGCCUGAUGCAGCCAUGCCGCGUGUAUGAAAAAGGCCUUCGGGUUGUAAAGUACUUUCAGUCGUGAGGAAGGUGUUAAGGUUAAUAACCUUAGCAAUUGACGUUAGCGACAGAAGAAGCACCGGCUAACUCCGUGCCAGCAGCCGCGGUAAUACGGAGGGUGCGAGCGUUAAUCGGAAUUACUGGGCGUAAAGGGCACGCAGGCGGUUAAUUAAGUUGGAUGUGAAAUCCCCGGGCUUAACCUGGGAAUGGCAUUCAAGACUGGUUAGCUAGAGUCUUGUAGAGGGGGUAGAAUUCCAUGUGUAGCGGUGAAAUGCGUAGAGAUGUGGAGGAAUACCGGUGGCGAAGGCGGCCCCUGGACAAAGACUGACGCUCAUGUGCGAAAGCGUGGGGAGCAAACGAGGGAUUAGAUACC